GCAGGUUAGGAAACACUGCAGGUUAGGAAACACCAUGUGGUAGUGCAGGUUAGGAAACACUGCAGGUUAGGAAACACCAGGUGGUAGAGCAGGUUAGGAAACACUGCAGGUUAGGAAACACCAGGUGGUAGAGCAGGUUAGGAAACACUGCAGGUUAGGAAACACCAGGUGGUAGUGCAGGUUAGGAAACACUGCAGGUUAGGAAACACCAGGUGGUAGAGCAGGUUAGGAAACACUGCAGGUUAGGAAACACCAUGUGGUAGAGCAGGUUAGGAAACACUGCAGGUUAGGAAACACUGCAGGUUAGGAAACACUGCAGGUUAGGAAAGACUGCAGGUUAGGAAACACUGCAGGUUAGGAAACACUGCAGGUUAGGAAAGACUGCAGGUUAGGAAACACUGCAGGUUAGGAAACACUGCAGGUUAGGAAACACUGCAGGUUAGGAAACACCAUGUGGUAGUGCAGGUUAGGAAACACUGCAGGUUAGGAAACACCAGGUGGUAGAGCAGGUUAGGAAAGACUGCAGGUUAGGAAACACUGCAGGUUAGGAAACACUGCAGGUUAGGAAAGACUGCAGGUUAGGAAACACUGCAGGUUAGGAAACACUGCAGGUUAGGAAACACUGCAGGUUAGGAAAGACUUAGUGGCCUAGAGGAUAACUACUUUAAAAAAAAAAUAGAAUAUCCACUCCAACAUUUGGAAAUGGACUUCAUUGAACUAUUCCGAAGUGAGGGAAAGAAGGGGUGUUUAACAAUAAUAUAUACGUAUAUUAAAGGGGUAGAAGCAUCCCCAACUUACUUGAUGGACAUGAUUAUGUUAGUUAAAAUAUUAGGUCAAGAUAUUAUCCCGAGAGUUGGUUUACUAGGAUCUAUUUCUUUAAAUAAUGGAUGACAUUCUAGCUAAUCAGGUAAAACAAAUAGAAUGCCAGAAUUAGGGACCAGAACAGGUAGACAUAGAAGUUGAAGAUAUACUAGCAGAACACAUGACUGUUUGUUAACCAAACCUGUAUGUCCAAGAUUUUGUGUCAAACAGGUGAAUUACAGGAGAAGGUGAUUCACUCAAUCCAACCAGAAGACUGGGUGUGGAUCCAGUCCCUGAGGAGAAUAUAUGGGAAGCAGCCCCGUUGGGAAGACCCAUACCAGGUUCUGUUAAACAGACUAGCUGAGAGAGUCAUGUUACCCACUGCAACGAGGUAUGUACACAUAUGAGCACUGCUGAUCACACACAGAGUUAGGAGAAGAACCGAGUACCAACAGGGUCCGAAGAUUUCCUAUCCCGACCGUUCAUCACUGUGGGUGAUCCUAGAAGUGUGAGUAUGCGGUGGUACCUAGCAGACAGACUAAGGACAGGAGAGAGUUGGUGGUUUUUGGGAAGAGUAGGGGCUCUGAGCUGCAUCAGUCUUGGUAACCUUUCUGAUACAUCCAGAUCCACCACCUUCCUGUACUAAUUAUAUGACACCGUUGUCAUUGAUCUUGUCACGAACCGGCUCAAAGCCCGUAACAAAGGGAGACAACGUGGAGAUAAGGCGUAGCAAAAUAUAUAUUUAUUAAAUAAGUAACUAAGUAUAAUAUACAAUGGUGUGUGUAAUCAGUAAUCAGUAGUGUAAGUGAGUGUUUUGCAUGCAUGAAUGUGAUAAUGCAGGGUGAUGAAAGGUGCCAAAGCAAACAAAUAAAAGGCCACCAAGAACCACAACACAAUCUACAAAGGUGUCUGCAUGGAGAGAGUCUCUUCCAUGAAUGUGGAAGAGGUCUAUUUAUCCUGGGAGACACCUGGCCCAGGUGUUUCCCAUGUAGCUGACGACCCUCUCAACUCCGCCCACCGGCAUCCUAAUAAGGAAACAAGAACAAAGACAGAAUACGGCAGACAGAGUGGGAGGGUCGUCACAAUAAGAAGUAAUAGAUAAACUAUAUAAUACACUGAUGAGUGACUUACAGAGUAAGGAUUCAAAGAAGAUCAAGGUGUAUGAUUUAAGGUAAACAUUAAACAAUUCCCUAGGAAAACAAAUAACUUUACAGGGAUUCGGUUGGACAGAAGUUCUUGGCCAACCCACCUCGGUUCACUUUAACUCCUGAUGAGUACCAGUGUUAUAGAUACAAGAAUGGCACCAAGAACUCAGAUGAUUUUAAUGGCUGAAAGGUAAUCGUUAAUGUGACUGACUUAAGUUAAGAAGUACAGGAGGAAAUUCUUAACCUCACAGCACCUAUAACUGAUGUAGGGUGGGCACGGACCAACAAAGGACGCAUACGACAGAAACGACCAAAAAGGGUGGUUAGGAACUUGCGCCCCGGGGUUAUUGGUCCAACUAGUUUGAGUUAGUCAUCAGAGGCCAGUUAAAGGAGGCUAAAGUAGGCACAGGAGGAGUCUAGAUGGAUACUAUUGGCAUCCUCAGGGAAGUUCCAGAUGAAUCAAAUAGGUGAAGGCUUUACCACUACCUUAUUUUGGUGGUUGACAAUAAAUACAAAUGUGGAUUGGAUUAAUUACAUCUAUUAUAAUCAACAGAGAUUUGUGAAUGAUACUGGGGAUGCAGUAAAGGGGUUCUCUGACCAAUUAUCCGCCACCUCCCUCAUGACCUGGUAAAAUAGACUGACUCUCGAUAUGUUAUUGGCAGAAAAGGGCGGGUAUGUAGAAUGAUUGGGGUUCAUUGCUGUACGUUUAUUUUUUAAUAACACAGCUCCAGAUGGAUCAGUGACCAAGGCACUGGCAGGUUUUACCAUUGUCGUGUCUUUGGCUAUGCCGGAUUAAUUCCUAAAACAUACAAUUCUAUAAAAUAAUAUCACCUUAUUGAGCUAAUCAUGUAAAUGUAAUUAACUAGAGAGUCAGGCACCACAAAAUAAUAUUUAUAGAGCUGUUAUCUUCCGAAUAAACUCUUAAAGAUCUUGUAAUAUUUUACAUCAAUAGCAGUCAAUAUCUAUCGUCAUCUUACUUCAGUCUCAUAAUCUGAAAGUUGAAAAUUCUUGGUUAUCUGCAAGAACCCUGGCUAACAAGUUGAAUCAGCAAUACAAAAUUGGGUUUAAUUAUUUAUAUACUAAAUACCUAACUAAUCACACAGAAUUCACAUACACAAAGAAUGAAUUAUGCCUGGAUAAUUCUUUACGUCAUAGGAAAACAUCCCUAGUGGGCGGAACAGAUAUGACAGCUUGUUACACAAAGGAAAAGGGGCUGGGUUGAGUGAAAGAGCGGGAAGACAGGAACAAAGGCGAAGCUGUGCUAUCGUAAUUACAGUAUCUUAUGCAUUCUAAAUUACUGCCCAUUUGGAAAAGGAAAAUGCAAUACAUUUUUACUCUGAGCUGUGCUUCAGUAGGUUGGUGGUAGAUGGAAGACUGUGUUGCCAAACCGAGUCCUCUGUCCUUUAAAGAAUGUCUCUGGUGGUCACUUGGAUAAGUUGUAGUAACGUCGAUGUGUGGUAGAUGGGAUACUCUGUCUGUUCCUUCCUAACCUGCGUUUGUAGCUGCGGUCGCUAACUCAACGGCUAGGAGGUAUCACUUCUGUCGUGAAUAAGUGUUCAAAGUUCAUACCAUUUGCAACCAAAGUUCAUGCUGAUGUUGGCUACGUUCUGUAGUUUUAUCUGAACCAUUCUGACAUAGGAUCGUCAUCCUGCCUCAUCAGAACAGGAAGUUCAAUUGUCGUCAAGGCUUUAUAUAGGAAGGCAGAAAAGGGGUGUGGUUCAUAGUUUACAACCUCUGUCUCUUCACGUGGGCGGGCCACUGAGUGAGCAGCAAUAUCUUAUGAAAAACCACAUCUCACAUUUUAGAAGCUAAAACCACAUUUCAUCCAAUCACAAAUAAUUUCAUAUUCAAACAUUUAAAUUGAACAACAAUUCCAUGUGAAUCCGAUAACUCUGAUGUGUAGACUUUCCACUGUAGAGUUUGUCAUCUUAUCAUUGAUGAGAAUGUCUCAGAUGACAACCGAACUGACAUCAUAUUCAUUAAGUACCACCGCAUAUGUUCAAUUGUUCAGAUUACCAGAAUAUAGUUCAUUUCCCCCCACAUUCUGACGUUCCCAGAAUCUCUUUGUUAACCAAGGGUUUUGCAAAUGUAACCUCAAUAGGGUAGAGAGAGGAAAAAGGGGGGAAGAGGUAUUUAUGACUGUCAUAAACCUACCCCCCAGGCCAACAUCAUGACACUGCAUUAGCUCAUGAGUUAGCAGAGAACUCUGGGGUGGAUAUUUCCCUGACAGGGUGGUUUGACAGUAUGUUUGGGAAAUGGAAAAAUGCCAUAAUCAAUGUGUUGUGCGCAACUUUCACCUGUAUGCGUGUUUUGGUUCUGUGUGGAUGUUGUUUGGUCCCAUGUGUGAGAGGUUUAAUCACCAGAACUCUAGAGUGAUCGAUGACGCAACAGAUGGUGAGAUAUGGGCCGAUUCCGAGCUCCGACCAGUGGGAUGACGAAUACAGGCUUCCAGGCCUAGGAGAUGGCCCGUUUCUUUUAACUACGAGGAGCCAAUGUUAGAUGAGACUAUUUUCAAUGUUUAGACAAGACUGUUCAAUUAAUGAAGAUUAUAAUAAAACUCUUUCAAAAGAGUUAUGAUUGGAUAUAGGCUUGGAACAGUCAUUGAUGAGUAAUCGAAUGUAAAUACAUGUAUUGGUUUGGUUUAUUCUUGUAUAACAUUUAUGUUUCCAUAUAGUGUUUGAUGUAUCAGUGUGUAUUAUUUAGUCAUUAAGGGUGGAUUGAUAAGGGAAUUAUUAAUUAUUAUUAAACCCAUGGUUUUAUAGAUCUCUGGGAUUGGUCAGAGCUAUUGAUGGUCAGUUAUUAUCAUUGGGAUUGAAAAUUCUCUUGACAAUACAGCAAAUCCUCCCCCAUAAGCAUUUAUGUCUCUUCUAUAAAUGUUAUAUCCUUGUAUUGCUACUGAUGUAUCAUCAAAUUAAUUAUCUAAGUGAGUCUCAGAAAUGGCUAAUAUAUGAAUGUUAUGUUAGCAAGUUACUGAUUUCAUGAACCUUAUUUCUAAGGCUACAUAUAUUAAUAUGGGCUACUUUCAGCCCUUUCCUGGGUAGCUUAUCAGAGAUAGACAUAAUAUUGAAAAGAGCAGACUAAGCAAGAGAAAAAAAUACAUUCAGCAGUCCAUUAAUCAAUUGUUGUGUGUGUGUAUGUAUGUGUGUGUGUGCGUGCUGCGGAGUUGAGGCUAUGAACCCAUAGGCUUGGCUCUCUCAUCCCUUCCAGGCUUCUGGACUGAUGUCAUCUUGCCGUUCUGUUUCAACUUGUCGAGCUGACACUGGGAGAACUGCACUGUUCUUCAGGUCCUGGACCUCUCUGAUCCUUGAUGAACAGAGCAAAGUACAGAGAGAUCCUUGAUGAAAACCUGCUCCAUAGUACUCAGGACCAGACUGGGGCAAAGUUUUACCUUCCAACAGGACAAUGACCCUAAGCACACAGCCAAGACAAAACGGGAGUGGCUUCGGGACAAGUCUCUGAAUGUCCUUGAGUGGCUCAGCCAGAGUCCGGACUUGAACAUCUCUGGAGAGCACUGAAAAUAGCUGUGCAGCAAUGUUCCCCACCCAACCUGAGAGAUUGAGAGGAUCUGCAGAGAGAAACUGCCCAAAUACAAGUGUCAAGCUUGUAGCGUCAUACCAAAGAAGACUUAAGCAGUAAUCGUUGCCAAAGGUGCUUCAACAAAGCACUGAGGGUCUGAAUACUUUAAAUUUACAUUUUUGUAUAAAUUUGCACAAAAAAAUCUAAGAACCUGUUUUGCUUUGUCAUUGUGGUGUAUUGUGUGUAGAUUGAGGGGGAAGAACUCAAUUUUAGAAUAAGGCUAUAACGUAAUAAAAUGUUGAAAAGUCAA